ACUCGAUUUUAUCUUUUAUUUCCACCUCUUCAGUUCGAUUGCGUUCUUAUAUAUUGCGUUUGGAUGCACGAUUGAAUUCAAUUACUGAAACUGCUUGUUUUUUCUUCUCUCUUUAGUAGACUGAUUAUCUCGAUCCAAUUCGAUAGGUCAUCCAAACGCACCCAUAGCAAGUGAGGGAAAUCGCGAAUGCGAGAAGUUUGAUUUGCGGUGUUGGUUGUUGCCAUGAUGUUGUCAGAUGAUGAUGAUAUUGAGUUCGAUCGAGUCACGUACGAUCAUGGUUGCUUGGAGAACCUUAGGUCCAUCUAUCAUAGGGGCAAGAAGAAGCUCGAAAAAUCCUCUUCCGAGGAUGAGGUUGAAAUGCACAAUUUCCAAAAUGAAGAUGAAUUCCUUCAUUCUCAUCCAAGAAAUCAUACAAGUGGCGCUGAUGAUGAAGCGAUUUCUGAUGAGGAAAAUGAUGACAAAGUGAUCUCAAGUUUUUCCUUCAACUCUGGGGCUACCAAGUCCCAUAAUCUUCUCCAUGAUUCUGAGAAUGAGCACCAAGACGCAUCUUGCACAUGGUCUGCAGUUCUUAAAGAAGCUGAAGAAUUAGUUUCUGUACAUGAAAAUGAUGGCAGUACAUCCCAUGCCACCAAUUCUGAAGCCAGAAAAUUUCAGAAAGGUUCUGGAGGCAAAGCCAAGCACAAGUUCUCUAUCCGUCUCCAGCCAUACAGGGAAGGACUAUCCUGGACUUCUGUGGUGAAGGAUGAAAAUGCAAAAUCAUCUGAGGUUUCUAAAAUGGCUGCAGGAUUAGAAGCUCUUGAGUAUGGAGUUACAGAACAUUCAAUGGCUGGGCUUUUGGAAGGUCUUCAGGAAGAAAAUGAAAAAUUAUCUGAGGCUACUCAAUUGCCUGGAGAGUUAGUAGCUUUAGUGCAGAGGGGUACAGAUCAUUCAAUGGUCGAACUUCUAGAUGGCCUUCAGGAGAAGAAUGGUUCAUCAAGGAUGACUCCUAGCAUGUUGCUGCAGCAUGGUAAUAUGAAGGAAAGACGGUUCCAACAUCAUGAGAAGAGAACUUUAUCUUCCUUGGGUGAUAGAACUCUGGACAACGAAGAUCCCCUUGAGAACAUGGACCAUAGGAUGUCAAGUGAGGAUGAGGAUAGUAAUCAAAAUCACUUAUGCCUUCAAACUACGAAUAUCAAAGGGCAAACAAUGGUGGAUCGGUUCCAGGAAGCUUUCCGUCCGGUAGCAAUGGAUGGUGAGGGGGGCCUCUUUCCUAUUAGUAAACAGGCAGGAUGUUCAAAUUUGUGUAGAAGUGGAUAUUAUGAGAGAUUACAGCAAGUCAUGCAGAAAGAGAAGGAUAGGCAUAUGGAGUUCUUGAAGCAGUUGCAGACGGAAGCAAGUUCAAAUGAUGAAUCAAGAUGCAUUGAUGUACAAUUACUAUCGAGAUACUUGGAUGCAAAGCUGACGGUUUGCAAUUGCACCAUUCUUGAAAACAGUAAGAGCUUCCAAUGCAUGAAAAGCCCUCAAAUUUUAGCAGAUGGUGGAUCAAGUACAAAUAGAAUAAUUGUUUUCAGCCCGAAAAUAUGUGACAAUGUAGAGCUCGAAGUUGGAAACUCAAUUCGCAUUCACCCCCCAUGGUAUGAGCUUAUAAGGAAAGAAGUACAAGUUGCGGAAAAUGAGAUUAUUAUUUUGUGCACAUAUUUCUCUCAGAUUUCCGCAUGAUUACUUGCUCUUAAAAGAGGUUGCAUAAAACAUGGUUUAAAGACUCGUAUCCACCUUCUUUGGUCCUGAGUUGAGUUGUGACGCCCUGAGUUGGGGUUGGGGCUGAAUCAGCCUGACUCACCUGAGUUGGGGGUGACUCGGUGUAUUGAUCCAGAUUGGGUAGGAUGAGUCUGAUGGUACAGAACUCAAAAUCAUUUAGCUGUUGUUACAGCAAAAGCCAUUUAUAUACCUGUGGGAUAUCAGGGCAUCUCAUCCCGACGGGCCCCAAAAAAGGAUGGGCCAUAGCUCAAAAAAUGGAUGUACUGGAUGAUCCUCACUGUCCCGAAGUGAGAA